GCCGAGGUGGCGGAAUUGGCAGACGCGCUAGGUUGAGGGCCUAGUGAGCAGCAAUGCUCGUGUGGGUUCAAGUCCCACUCUCGGCACCA
rnacentral:tRNA from 1 species